GUGGGGAAUAUUGGACAAUGGGCGAAAGCCUGAUCCAGCCAUGCCGCGUGUGUGAAGAAGGUCUUCGGAUUGUAAAGCACUUUAAGUUGGGAGGAAGGGCAGUAAGUUAAUACCUUGCUGUUUUGACGUUACCGACAGAAUAAGCACCGGCUAACUUCGUGCCAGCAGCCGCGGUAAUACGAAGGGUGCAAGCGUUAAUCGGAAUUACUGGGCGUAAAGCGCGCGUAGGUGGUUUUGUAAGUUGAAGGUGAAAUCCCCGAGCUCAACCUGGGAACUGCCUCCAAAACUGCAUGACUAGAGUACGGUAGAGGGUAGUGGAAUUUCCUGUGUAGCGGUGAAAUGCGUAGAUAUAGGAAGGAACACCAGUGGCGAAGGCGACUACCUGGACUGAUACUGACACUGAGGUGCGAAAGCGUGGGGAGCAAACAGGAUUAGAUACUCUGGUAGUCC
rnacentral:rRNA from 1 species